CUUGGUUAGAGUUGGACAAGAUUUCUGCCUCUUUAAUGUGUAAAAUGGGGACAGGAAAUUGCAUCCUGAAGAAGGUAGCCAUGACGUGACCAAAUGAGAAGUACCCAUUUCAAUUAUUACUAUAUGCUAAUCUGCUGUUUACUUAUGCUACUCUCUUGAUAGCUACAUUUAGUUGCAUGGAACACAAAUACUAUAAAAUCAAUUCAUAAUUACAAGGGUUUGCCACCAAGUAUAAUGGCAAAUUGCAUGAGUUUGGG
rnacentral:misc_RNA from 1 species